rnacentral:rRNA from 1 species
UAACACAUGCAAGUCGUGCGAGAAAGUACCUUCGGGUGCGAGUAGAGCGGCGGACGGGUGAGUAACGCGUAGGAAUCUACCUAGUAGAAGGGGAUAGCCCGGGGAAACUCGGAUUAAUACCGUAUACCUCCUAAGGGAGAAAGAGGGCCUCUCUUGAUGCUCUCGCUAUUAGAUGAGCCUGCGUAAGAUUAGCUUGUUGGUAAGGUAAUGGCUUACCAAGGCUACGAUCUUUAGCUGGUCUGAGAGGACGAUCAGCCACAUUGGGACUGAGACACGGCCCAGACUCCUACGGGAGGCAGCAGUGGGGAAUAUUGGACAAUGGGCGCAAGCCUGAUCCAGCCAUACCGCGUGUGUGAAGAAGGCCUUCGGGUUGUAAAGCACUUUAAGCAGGGAGAAAAAGUUAUAAGUUAAUACCUUGUAACCGUGAUGUUACCUGCAGAAUAAGCACCGGCUAAUUCCGUGCCAGCAGCCGCGGUAAUACGGAAGGUGCAAGCGUUAAUCGGAAUUACUGGGCGUAAAGCGCGCGUAGGUGGUUUGUUAAGUUGGAUGUGAAAGCCCUGGGCUCAACCUAGGAACUGCAUCCAAAACUAACUCACUAGAGUACGAUAGAGGGAGGUAGAAUUCAUAGUGUAGCGGUGGAAUGCGUAGAUAUUAUGAAGAAUACCAGUGGCGAAGGCGGCCUCCUGGAUCUGUACUGACACUGAGGUGCGAAAGCGUGGGUAGCGAACAGGAUUAGAUACCCUGGUAGUCCACGCCGUAAACGAUGACAACUAGCUGUUGGGAGACAAUGUCUUUCAGUGGCGCAGCUAACGUUUUAAGUUGUCCGCCUGGGGAGUACGGCCGCAAGGCUAAAACUCAAAUGAAUUGACGGGGACCCGCACAAGGGGGAGCAUGUGGUUUAUUCGAUGCAACGGCGAAAAACCUUACCUACUCUUGACAUACUUGGGAAGCUCUUGUAAUGAAGAGUGUGCCUUUUGGAGCCAAGAUACAAGGUGCUGCUUGCUGUCGUCAGCUCGUGUCUGGAGAUGUUCGUUAAGUCGGAUAACGAGCGCAACCUUACCUUAUUGCCAGCGAUUCGUCCGGAACUAUAAGGGGACUGGCGGUUGAUAACUGGAGAGUGAGAACGAACGUCAAGUUCCUUCAUGGCCCUUUACCGAAGUAGGGCUUCACCCACGUGCUUACAAAUGGGGUACACCCA